AGUGAACGCUGGCGGUAGGCCUAACACAUGCGAGUCGAACGGCAGCACAGUAAGAGCUUGCUCUUACGGGUGGCGAGUGGCGGACGGGUGAGGAAUACAUCGGAAUCUACUUUUUCGUGGGGGAUAACGUAGGGAAACUUACGCUAAUACCGCAUACGACCUACGGGUGAAAGCAGGGGAUCUUCGGACCUUGCGCGAUUGAAUGAGCCGAUGUCGGAUUAGCUAGUUGGCGGGGUAAAGGCCCACCAAGGCGUCGAUCCGUAGCUGGUCUGAGAGGAUGAUCAGCCACACUGGAACUGAGACACGGUCCAGACUCCUACGGGAGGCAGCAGUGGGGAAUAUUGGACAAUGGGCGCAAGCCUGAUCCAGCCAUACCGCGUGGGUGAAGAAGGCCUUCGGGUUGUAAAGCCCUUUUGUUGGGAAAGAAAAGCAGCAGGUUAAUACCCCGCUGUUCUGACGGUACCCAAAGAAUAAGCACCGGCUAACUUCGUG
rnacentral:rRNA from 1 species